CAUGGACGAAUAUAGAAAAUCUCUAUCAACAGAUUGCUUUCUAUAGGUAUAUAUAUUUCCAAUGGAAGAGUUAUAGUAUGUGUACCAAGUAUAAACGAUAUCUUAAUGGGGGGGUUUUACAUUGUAAUCGCCGACUGCUGAUAACAAGCACACUUCUACAGGGGAGAGAGAGGCACUUACACGGUUUGAGCCAGCGAACAUUAUGUGGCCAGUCAGUCAGCCUCUUGGCAUUCCAUUUGACUUGGUUUUUAGCGCACACACAGAGAGGAUUUCCAUCUGCAUAAUUAACCCGGCUGAGUAACCCUUGCAACUGCGACCUCUUGCUCAGCGAAUGUCAAGUCAAGAAAAGUUCUGGUUCCCCCCCCCCAAACAGAGC
rnacentral:lncRNA from 1 species